rnacentral:miRNA from 1 species
UCGCUUGGUGCAGGUCGGAA